AUGUAUUUAACUAAAAUGUAAACAAAUCGAAAAAAAAAUUAUUAAACAAAUAAACAACAGAUGAAACAAAUAAACACUGGCGAAUAAAAUAGCAAAAAAAAGGAAAUUUAAUAAAUGAAAAACAAAAUAAUUGUUAAACUUGAAGUGUUUAAACAACUUUGUGUGGUGUGAAUAUUCGUUCGGAUGCGAUCGUGAAAAUUUAUAAAAUGGCAGGAAUGCUAGUAUCACUUUUAUAAAAAAUAUAAUUGCAAAUGGAGUGCAAUAUAAUUUCGUGAAAUUACCCGUAGAAAUGCAAGUUAAAUAAUUUUGAGCAGUUUACAAAAUUAUCUCUCAAUCUGAGUAUAUUACAGAUUGUAGGUUAGAAUUUCACAAAACUUAGUUGCACGUUACCUCGGUAUCAGACAGUCCUGAAUCCGUAUUACUUUCCUGGUGAUUGCUUCUACAGUUUCGGCAACGACAGCGGCAGCGAGGCAUCAGUACGAGAUGACAGUGUUCCAAAUAUUUCUCCUACUUUCCCGUUGGCCAUUGUUCAUUCCAUUUAACCGAACAGUAAGUAGAAUAUCUUAUACUUUUGUUUAAUGUUACAUAUGUUUAGAUACAUGUUUAGAUUUAUGUUUACUUUUAUGUUUAAAUACAAUUCAUUUUUAGUUUUAAAUCUUAAACAUGUUGUUUAAUUGGGACAAUUAACAGAUAGGUAAGUGAACGCGAACUGGUGCAGAA